rnacentral:rRNA from 1 species
CCUGAUCCAGCCAUGCCGCGUGCAGGAUGACGGCCCUAUGGUUGUAAACUUGCUUUUGUACGGAAGAAAAACCUCCUACGUGUACCAUAUUGACGGUACUGUAAGAUAAGAGAUCGGCUAACUCCGUGCCAGCAGCCGCGGUAAUACGAUACG